UAUCCCAUUCACUUGAUUAUUUGAAUUAGUUUGUAUCAGAUCUCCGAUCCGUCUUUUCAUACCAUCUGUUUCUGCAAGUGAAGUACUCAAGGGAGCCUGACAAUCCAACUAAGUCUUGCAAGGCUAGAGGCGCCGACCUUAGGGUUCAUUUUAA